AGCGAACGCUGGCGGCAGGCCUAACACAUGCAAGUCGAACGCCCCUUUCGGGGGGAGUGGCAGACGGGUGAGUAACACGUGGGAACGUGCCCAUCGGUUCGGAAUAACCCAGGGAAACUUGGGCUAAGACCGGAUACGACCGGACGGUGAAAGAUUUAUCGCCGAUGGAUCGGCCCGCGUCUGAUUAGCUAGUUGGUGGGGUAAUGGCCCACCAAGGCGACGAUCAGUAGCUGGUCUGAGAGGAUGAUCAGCCACACUGGGACUGAGACACGGCCCAGACUCCUACGGGAGGCAGCAGUGGGGAAUAUUGGACAAUGGGCGCAAGCCUGAUCCAGCCAUGCCGCGUGAGUGAUGAAGGCCCUAGGGUUGUAAAGCUCUUUCGGCGGGGACGAUAAUGACGGUACCCGCAGAAGAAGCCCCGGCUAACUUCGUGCCAGCCGCCGCAGUAAGAC
rnacentral:rRNA from 1 species